AUUGAACGCUGGCGGCAUGCCUUACACAUGCAAGUCGAACGGUAACGCGGGGCAACCUGGCGACGAGUGGCGAACGGGUGAGUAAUGCAUCGGAACGUGCCCAGUAGUGGGGGAUAGCCCGGCGAAAGCCGGAUUAAUACCGCAUACGACCUACGGGUGAAAGCGGGGGACCGUAAGGCCUCGCGCUGUUGGAGCGGCCGAUGUCAGAUUAGGUAGUUGGUGGGGUAAAGGCCUACCAAGCCUUCGAUCUGUAGCUGGUCUGAGAGGACGACCAGCCACACUGGGACUGAGACACGGCCCAGACUCCUACGGGAGGCAGCAGUGGGGAAUUUUGGACAAUGGGCGCAAGCCUGAUCCAGCCAUGCCGCGUGCGGGAAGAAGGCCUUCGGUUGUAA
rnacentral:rRNA from 1 species